UUCACUUAACAACAAUGCUUUAGGGUUGACAGCAAAAUGUUAUCAACAGCCUAACCUGUUUACUGUGAUAGCCCACCUACCAACCAAUUAAUGUUAGUGUCGAAUUGCACAAAUCUGAUUGGUCACUUCAUCAAGUGACCAUCAGCUGAUUUGAAUUGUCACUUCAUGUAGAGCCAACGGAAGCGGUAGUAUUUUGAAUAUCUCUCUGGACUUUCAUGAUGUUAGUCAGUUAUAAACAUACUCAUUGGAAGUAUUUUAGCAGUACUGUAUUCAUCAAGUGCAAGAGUUAAACUCCGAGAAAUUUUAGUACAAGUCACAGUGAUUUAGUAUUUCAAACUAGAUUUGUUCAACGGCAUAAUUCAUACUAAUUUAGCUUGGUACCAUCGGACAAGAAAAGGCAUGGUUAUGGACAAUUGCUGCUGCAAUAUCACAAAGAAUGCUGGUUUAUGCACACCUGUAACACAAAUGGUUCUUGAAUAUUGUUUUAUACAGUAUAAUAAACUCUUGUAAUAGGACUACAUUACGAAAAAAAUGCUUAUUUAAACCGGACUGUAAAAGAGACCCUAGGGAAGUAAUGUCCCUACUGUAUGAUGUUUGUUGGUGUUUUAAAUUAAAGAAAUUAUGGUUUGUA